rnacentral:lncRNA from 1 species
AAUUGCCUAGGGUUUUUAUUUUAUUAAUAAAAAAGGAAAAUUACAACAAAUAGGAGAAAUAAAAUAAGGGGGAUUACGCCGGUAAUGUUUCCCAUAUAACACUGCCGGGCGUAGACCUUACCUUAGCUAUCCUAUUGAGGCAAAGACCUCUUGGAUUAGCAAGCAUGUAAAAAGAAGGAACUUGCAAGCACUAAGAAAUGACUGAUCAUCACAGAAUUUAUAACAUAUUCUGUGAUGAUAUUACAUAGAAUUAUACUAAUGUGAUGGUAAAAUAAAAAGAUGAGGAAACCAUAAAGGUUCCCUUUUUUCUCUGUUGUUGUGAAAAAUUCGAUUUGUAGUAUGAAGUCUUCUUCCACCUGAUUUUUCAUUAAUUCUUCAAAUUUCAUACUUUAUUCUUGGAUUUAGAAAGUAUCAUUUGAUCAACCUGUUUUGUUUUUGCCUUUCGCAUUGGGGGCCUCCUUAUGUUAACUUUUUUCUCGGAUUUAAAAAAUCAUCUUUUAUUUUUUGAGCGAUUGGACUUUGAUGACGAGCUUGUAGUUGCCUGCUUUUGUUUGGCCGCUCUCAUUGGGAUUUGCCUAACAUUUUGUUUCUUGUCGUACCAUGUUGCAUUUCUCAUCAAAAUAGCACCUGACUUGCUCGUUCCAAUGUGGCCAUCCGCAAUGUUAGGUGGUGUAUCUAGGACGUGAAUGCAUGUGGAAAAAGGAGGCUUACUUGGAAUGAAAUCUGGAGCCUCCCACUUGGUCUUUAAUUUUCCUUUUACAAAGUUUUCAAUAUAUGGACUUUGAAUUGCAUCCUUGAUUACUCUUUCGUUUCGAUGAUUUUCGAAAAGAGAGAUCCCGCUCCCUUUUCAAAUUUGCACAGAAAUGUCGAUGAUCUUUCCACUUAGAAAUAUCGCCAGCAGGUAAAUCUUUGGAAGAAGUCACAGCAAGUUG